ensembl:snoRNA
ACCCUCCAGUUCCCUUUCCCAUCGGAUGGAAACACUGGUCUGGGUGGUCAUGAAAGGAGGGGAAAGAACAUUGAAGCUGGCCCUCAGUGCUCUUGGAGCUCGGCUAGUUUCAAACAGGG